UCCAGACUCCUACGGGAGGCAGCAGUGGGGGAUAUUGCACAAUGGGGGGAACCCUGAUGCAGCGACGCCGCGUGGGUGAAGGAGCGUUUCGGCGCGUAAAGCCCUAUCGGCAGGGAAGAAGGAGGACGGUACCUGACUAAGAAGCCCCGGCUAACUACGUGCCAGCAGCCGCGGUAAUACGUAGGGGGCAAGCGUUAUCCGGAUUUACUGGGUGUAAAGGGGGCGCAGACGGCAGCGCAAGCCAGGAGUGAAAGCCCGGGGCCCAACCCCGGGACUGCUCUUGGAACUGCGCGGCUGGAGUGCAGGAGGGGCAGGCGGAAUUCCUGGUGUAGCGGUGAAAUGCGUAGAUAUCAGGAGGAACACCGGCGGCGAAGGCGGCCUGCUGGACUGCGACUGACGUUGAGGCCCGAAAGCGUGGGGAGCAAACAGGAUUAGAUACCCGCGUA
rnacentral:rRNA from 1 species